GGGGUCUUGAUACAACUUCAGAACGGUCUCCGUGUCGUUAUUCGUACAAGACCCUCGUCUCUCUCUACCCCCCAUUUGGUUAUUAGGAGGAGGUCCCCUCGAGAUCCUCGAAUAACUGGACCUGCUGGACGGGUCAAGUGGCGCCCGACGUGGAGCACGAGGUACGACUGCCCUCCGGACAACGGAUUAAGGAUUAAAGAGGUACCGCGCAGACAGAGAAACAGUGGGACAGUCCACCGACACUUCACUCGAGUGUCGAGUACGGACGUCGGGAGGUAAGCCUAGGCAUUCAGUUGUUGUCCCAUUAACCAUGGGGCAUUUAGUGAAGAGAUAAAGGGUUCUCUUAAGGAGAGAGGGAUAAGAGUUUUAAAAAAAAGGGGAAUUUAAUAAUAUAUUUUUGUUUUGUGGACAAGAGAUGUCCAUGGCUGGUAUUAAAUGGUUCUGAAACUUAGAAUAAAGUAGGCAAAGAAAUCAAUAGUUUAUAAAACAAGGAGAAGAUGUCCCUAAGUCCUUUUUAGCUAUUGGGGAAUCACCAGAGACCUCCUUGAUUAGGCAAAAAAGGGCAGAGAAGGUGCUCGCCUCUUAGCCCUCACUGAAGAUUUUUUAGAAAACUCCCGAUCCCCGCCCGCACAUAGGAUCUAUAUUAGAAGGUUUAGCAGGGAAAGGCUACUUGAUAGCCAAUGAAUGAAAUAAAGUUGUUCAGUCUGUCCUCACUAGAGGCCAAUAUUUAACUUGAAAGUCAGAGUUUAGGGCUGCCCUGAGAGGUAAAACCAAGAGUUUAGAUAUAAAUGAUAUGAUCAAGCUUUGUAAUGAGGUAGAUGUGUUUUCUCAACAAGUUUCUAAGUCUAUUAACCUGGCCAUUGGGGCUGCUCUACAACUAAAUAUAGGAGAAAAAAACUUGCUAUAGAUGCAACCAACCUGGACAUUUUGCUAGAGAAUGCCCUACACAAAGACAGAACACCCUAGUAACUGCGGUCCAGGGAAACGGCCAGAGGGCCCCCCUGAGGGGCCCGUCUCCCCUAAUAACAAGUGCAGACAACCCUCUAGCCCCCAUGAGAGAUUGUGCAGGGCCACGACAGGAAAUGCAGCGUUGGACCUGUGUUCCCCCACCAUCAGGAUUAUAACUCCUGAAGAGGGAACAGUGGUCAUCAAAACAGGUGAAUUUGAGCCCCCUCCCCAAAAGACAUUUUUUCUCAUCAUCGGCCGAGUGUCCAGACUUUUACAAGGCCUAAUGGUGACUCCUAAGGUGGUGACACCGACUACCAUGGGGAGAUAAAAAUCUUAGUCACCUCCAAGCAGGGACAACUUACCCUUAGGGCUAGAGAGCACAUAGCCCAAGCCUUACCACUCCCACUAUUCGGCCAUUUCCCUUAUAUGAAAGAGGAGCGAGGACCUUCCUCCCUGGGAUCCUCAGAAGUCUACUGGGCACAGAAAAUAACUGAUUCAUGGCCCAUGCUGACUUUGUUUCUAGAGGACAAACAGUUUCAAGGGCUCCUGGAUACCGGGGCAGAUGCGACAGUAAUUUCCUCAACACAUUGGCCUGCAGCCUGGCCCUUACAGCCCACUAAGGGAUGGUAUAAUCCACUGAUCAUAAAAUUUACUGCUAAGAAGAGGAACUUAGAGGCUUGAGAAAGUUCUCGCCCUCUCACCUGGGGCCUAAGAUUGUAUCAAGAUAACUAUGACAAUGGCCUGACCUUUAAGGUUCCGCUUCUAACAAUCAUAAAGCAUCCAUAGGACUUCCAGGUACCCGCCCCCCUGUUCCUGCCCCAGGGUGUGCUACGACCCUGUUUCAGCCCACUCUCCCUGCGGGGAGGCCCCCCUCUUCCACUGAUUUACUGUGGUCAAUAUUGAAUGCUUCUGCUUUAGCCUUGUUGUAUAAGACAAAGAGAUAAUGCGUCAGAAUCUGAAGAUUGUUGGAUGUGCUUUUCUGCUUCCCCGCCCUUUUAUGAGGGCAUAGCCUUAUUUAAAAAUUUUACCCUGCUUUCAGACGCUAGGCAGCUUCCCCUUGAGUCAGUUCAGCUUACCUUGACAGAACUCUCUGGGGUAAGAAGUUGUGUGUUGGGCCCAGGCAUGCUUCGAGGCCCUUGCUAGAGAUUUGCAAUAACACAAUUAUAGUAAAUAAAAAUGGGUUUUAAAGAGACUUCAUAAAGGUCAAAAAAUUCAUAGAUUAGGUUUUAUUGGAAGUUAAGAAAUCAUUUCCUAAAACUAUAUAAUUCAUUUUAUCAAUGGUGUUUUUGUUGGUUGCAAAAAAUAGAGAGCGUUUUUACAGAUGGCUUUAAAAUAUUUAACUAAGUGUGGACUAAUAAUGACUUCAAAAAAGAUUUAGCAUGGUAAACUUUUAGGCUAUUUGAGACAUUUAGUGUAUAGAGAUUGUGUGUUUUCUCAAAAAUUUACCCUCAGAUUAAAUAAAUUAGAAGUUUUGGAUGCUUGCCAAAAGCUGUUAGAAAAUUUUAGAUUUUAAUCUUGGUUUGACAAGCUGCCUCUUACAAGCAGGAAAGGAAAGAAAAAAAUAGAGAAAUGGAUUUUAAAACUCUCCCAGGGACAGAGAGAAAUCGGGGGACGCCCUGUUUUAUUCUCUCUGGCCCCUACAGGAGAAGCUCUCUACCCUCUUUCUAUUGUCUAUGGUUGGUGCACCAAUCACAUGUCAAUUCAUGUAUGUUUUCUGUUUCGUUGUCUGAAUGAUUGUUUCCUUGUCUGAAUGACUGGCUGUUUUAUGUUUCAUGUU
rnacentral:lncRNA from 1 species